AUCUUAUCAUGAGUGGUGGAGGGACUGGCCCUACGAAACCCGGCAACCGUCCAAAUUGGAUUGGUGCUAAUUCCUGCAGAACAAUAGGUUUCUGCAAGAUAAGAG
rnacentral:ncRNA from 2 species